rnacentral:lncRNA from 1 species
GGUGACUUAGUCAAACUAUAUAUUUUCUAUGAAUAACAAAAGAAUAGAAUAAAAAAAGUCCGAAAAUACGCAAAAACCCUUCUCUCUCUUUCCUUUCCUCUGAUUUCUCUAGAACUUUCAUCAAAGAAAAUCAAUUCCGGUGGCCGGUGGCGGCGCCGCCGGUCACCAACCCCUUUUAUCUUUUGUUUUUUGUUGUAGAUACUUUCGCUCGGCAAAUCUUUUUUAUCCCGGUUAGCGGAUCUAGUCUUCCCAGUGGCGACUUUUGUGGUGUAUCCGAUUUCAGUCGAAGCAAAGUUUCAAGGACGUUUCCAUGUUCUUCGAAAGGGAUCGGUGUAAAUACCGUAAUCCUUAUCUUUCGCAGUUUGUCAGCAAAAUCCCGUUUGCUUAAGAAGACUUUCCUCUUCUCUCUCGGAUAGCACUUUCUCCUUUCCAAAAGGAAUCAAUCUUUACUCUCUUAUGUUGGAGCCGCUAAAUCGGUUUAUGGGUAAAGUAUCCUAGAUGGAAAGGAAUAUGUGAUGUUGGAUUGAUUUUGGUUGGUUCUGAUGGAGAUCUAGAUGAAUUAGCAUGUUCCCUAUAUCGAAGGUGGUCCGGUAAAAUAUUCUAUUAGAUCAACUGAGUAUUCCCAGGUUUAUUAUCCGGCGGCGUUGAUGGUGGUUCUAACUAAAGUGACGGUUGAACGAAAGAUAAGAAGCGAAGGAGUUUCAAAUAGUUCCCGGAGACAAAGCUCAGGAAGACGGCGGUUCGCCGGUGAGGUUGCGUCUCAGAUUUCUCAUCCCACACGUGGUGUUCAGGGACACGUGUCAUCCUAUUUUGGCUAUAAUCUCAUGUAAACACAGAAAAGGACGCGUGUUGAAGACUUACUUCGUAGAGACGCGUGUAAUAACUCGAAGGAAAUAUUGGGUCAAUAAAUUGGGUCUAAUAUUAUUGGGUUUAUGGUUUGGUCGAGUUUGUAUUAAUGAGAAUUGGGAUGUAUGUAACUCCUUUGUAGUAUGCCCAUUUGGGCCUUUUUUUUUUUUUUUUUUUUUUUUACGUUNNNNNNNNNNNNNNNNNNNNNNNNNNNNNNNNNNNNNNNNNNNNNGCUUUUUUUUUUUUUUUUUUUUUACGCUUUGUCGCCAGUUCAUAAGAAAGAGUAACAUAGUCGAAACAGACAGAGUUUGGUGGAACCAACAGGCCCCAAACUCCAAAAUUAAAAAAAACCCAAAACUCAACAUCAUCUCCCUUGCUCACAUCCAUCUCCGUUGGGAAUGAAAUGAAAUGGAUCAGAGAAGAUGAAAACCAGACGCACGCUUUCCAUUAGUACUCAUUAACCGUGCCAACAGCAUCUGCAUGAAUCAUAGGAAGAAACCAAUAAGGGCCACCUUUCUCAAUAUACGAAGCAUAGCGAUGAUCUCUUGUGACACUACGAGCGAUGGCAUCGGCGCACCGGUUGACAAAAAAAAAGAAUAAAAAAUGUUCUACUGUCACACAAAUUGUUGGCC